GACAGAGGGUGCGAACGUUGUUCGGAAUUACUGGGCGUAAAGCGCGUGUAGGCGGCAAUGCAAGUCGGGCGUGAAAUCCCACGGCUCAACCGUGGAAGUGCACUCGAAACUGCAUAGCUAGAGUCCUGGAGAGGAAGGUGGAAUGCUUGGUGUAGAGGUGAAAUUCGUAGAUAUCAAGCGGAACACCGGUGGCGAAGGCGGCCUUCUGGACAGUGACUAGGCACGCUGAGACGCGAAAGCG
rnacentral:rRNA from 1 species